rnacentral:tRNA from 2 species
AGCCGGGUGGUGUAGCGGCCAAGCAUGGCAGGCUCUGGCCCUGCCGACGGGAGUUCGAAUCUCCCCCCGGCUACCA